CCUACGGGGGGCAGCAGUGAGGAAUAUUGGUCAAUGGACGAGAGUCUGAACCAGCCAAGUAGCGUGAAGGAUGACUGCCCUAUGGGUUGUAAACUUCUUUUAUAAAGGAAUAAAACGAGGCACGUGUGCCUUUUUGCAUGUACUUUAUGAAUAAGGAUCGGCUAACUCCGUGCCAGCAGCCGCGGUAAUACGGAGGAUCCGAGCGUUAUCCGGAUUUAUUGGGUUUAAAGGGAGCGUAGAUGGGUUGUUAAGUCAGUUGUGAAAGUUUGCGGCUCAACCGUAAAAUUGCAAUUGAUACUGGCAGUCUUGAGUGAGUGAGAAGUAUGCGGAAUGCGUGGUGUAGCGGUGAAAUGCAUAGAUAUCACGCAGAACUCCGAUUGCGAAGGCAGCAUACCGGCGCUCAACUGACGCUCAUGCACGAAAGUGUGGGUAUCGAACAGGAUUAGAUACCCGAGUAGUC
rnacentral:rRNA from 1 species